CCUACGUGCGGCAGCAGUGAGGAAUAUUGGUCAAUGGGCGUAAGUCUGACCCAGCCAAGCCGCGUGAAGGAUGAAGGUUCUCUGGAUGGUAAGCUCUUUUUUUAAGGGAAUAAACGGUGGUACGUGUUCCGUUUUGAGUGUACCUUAAGUAUGAGGAUGGGCUAACUCCGUGACAGCAGCCGCGGUAAUACGGAGGAUCCGAGCGUUAUCCGGAGUGAUUGGGUUUAACGGGUGCGUAGGCGGACUUUUAAGUCAGCGGUGAAACUGCUGGGCUGAACCAUAGAAUUGCUGUGGACACUGGGGGGCUGGAGUACAGGUGAGGCAGGCGGAAUGCGUAGUGUAGCGGUGAAAUGCGGAGAUAUUAGGAGGAACCCCAAUGGCGAAGGCAGCUUGCUAGGCUGUGACUGACGCUGAGGCACGAAAGCGUGGGGAGCAAACAGGAUUAGAUACCCUGGUAGUC
rnacentral:rRNA from 1 species